rnacentral:lncRNA from 1 species
GCUUCGCUUGGGGAGCAACGGAUUCUGAUAAAGUAAGUUUUUAUCUAUUUAUUCAUGUGAAAAUUACGUAGUUACACGAGGGGUGCAACGGAAUCCGUUUUCUAAGCAUCUUUUGGAUGCUCAUCCUACGGCCUAUAGCCGGCUGAGAAAGAGUUAAAGGCAUGAUUACCGAAUUGUUUAGACAUGCAUUAACAAUAGCUAUCUCUUACUAUAUUUUUGCAUAGUGAAAUUUUGAAAAUCAUUAGUUGCUGUAUAUGUUUAUUAUUAAAGCAAAACAUUUAUUAAUUAAAGCGUGAUUCAAUAAUAUUGUUGGCUGCACCAUUGCUAUCAACCAUAAUCCAUUGCUUUUAAAUCGAGUGAUUGUUCAUAGCCAUUUGUUGUAGCUCGGCCAACUAUUUAACACGUACUUCCGGGUGUAUUCGCGUUAUUAGCGGAUCUUAAAGGGACAUGGCAAUAUAAAUCAAGUUUGUCUUAUUUGAAAGAACAUUUAAAAUUAUAUAUAAACUAUUAUAUAUAAACUUCUUUUACAAUUAUUCCGUAUCUUGCUUGGUUUUCGAAAUAAAUCGACUUAUUUUGAUCAAAAGCAGCGUGCAUUCCACCAUCUUGGAUAUGCAAUCGAUAAUAAAUGCAUACGUCACAAGUAGGGUAAAAAGCGAAAUUUUUAUCUUGCAAACCACAUGUCCUUAUCAAUAUGAAACUCGAUUUUCCGAUGUCUUUUUAGUACUCAAUUAACUCACAACGUACAUUUUAAGAAAAUUUUCGAAGAAAUGUAGUCCCACAUGAAGACGUUUUAACAAGUUUACCCUGCUUUUGACGUCAUCACAAACUCAGUUAAUUAGGUCAAUUAUUUAUUUAUUAUUUAUUUAUUAAACUUUGCCAAAAACACGUAACAGAACAGCAAAUAGACAUCUAGACAAUAAACAUGGACAAGAAUGGCAGGGACACCACAACAGUGUAAACCAAUUACUGUGGGCCCUAUACAAAAAUACACAUACAGUACAGAAUAUAUAACAUACAGUACAUGGACAGGAGACUAAAAACAACAAGUUAGUUCAGAACGUAAGUAACGACUAGUGUUACACUUCAGACAUAUAGUCUUCCAUGUCCUCGGAUCUUCUUCGUUGAAGCAUUCUCUCAGGGCUGUCAGGUAGUAAGUUUGUAAUAAAACCAUGAUGGUUUUUGAUUUUUUUAUAUAAUAAAACCAUGUUGUUUAUUAUGCCAAGAUGGCGGACGGCAUUCUGUUUUUGGUCAAAAUAUUUCGAAAACCAAGCAAGGUAUACGAAAACGUUGUAAAGGGUCUCCUUACAUAACUUUAAAAAUUCUUUCAAAUAAGACAAACUUAAUUUUUAUUGACAUAUCCCUUUAAGCAAGCGACGUUUUUGACAACACGGACGCCAGAUUGCCGAGGGGAGACUGUACUAAAAAUUGUGUUUGUAUCAGUUUGCGGUAAUCUUCAACACAUAUGACAAAACAUAACAUUUUUAAAGUUCCUUACACGAGCGCUAUGAUGCAAAAUGCCGCCAGUGUUGACAAAACGUCGCUUGCUCGAGCUCCGCUAAUAACCAAUCAACAUUCACUAAAUUUUGAAAUUUUCGAUUUUUUUAUACGUUGGAAACGGGCUUAAGCAAAGUACAUAGUGCAGUUCACAUUUGGAUGGACUGUGACCAAAUUCUUCAUUUCCUGGGUGACCUCCUUGGGCCCGGAGUCAUCAGAUACCGUACUGCCUACAGUACUACUUUCAAUCUUCAAAUGACGUCUGGCUCUGAACGCGACAUGGUGGGCAUAGUAGGCGGGGGCGGGGAUAGAUACCGACCUUGCACACCGCACAUAGGUGUAACACAACUGAUUGGUCAUAAUCUGUAUGUCGUCUGAGCUGAAAUCGCUGUCAUCGUACAAUACAUGGUAGAGUGUUGGUUUACUCGUGCCUUGUGCAGCAUGGCUGCAGAGGUACCAAUUGAAUUCAUACGGAUGACAGAUCGCUGUAUCAACCACUGUGCCU